GAUGAACGCUGGCGGCGUGCCUAAUACAUGCAAGUCGAGCGAACGGACGAGAAGCUUGCUUCUCUGAUGUUAGCGGCGGACGGGUGAGUAACACGUGGAUAACCUACCUAUAAGACUGGGAUAACUUCGGGAAACCGGAGCUAAUACCGGAUAAUAUUUUGAACCGCAUGGUUCAAAAGUGAAAGACGGUCUUGCUGUCACUUAUAGAUGGAUCCGCGCUGCAUUAGCUAGUUGGUAAGGUAACGGCUUACCAAGGCAACGAUGCAUAGCCGACCUGAGAGGGUGAUCGGACACACUGGAACUGAGACACGGUCCAGACUCCUACGGGAGGCAGCAGUAGGGAAUCUUCCGCAAUGGGCGAAAGCCUGACGGAGCAACGCCGCGUGAGUGAUGAAGGGCUUCGGAUCGUAAAACUCUGUUAUUAGGGAAGAACAUAUGUGUAAGUAACUGUGCACAUCUUGACGGUACCUAAUCAGAAAGCCACGGCUAACUACGUG
rnacentral:rRNA from 1 species